ensembl:lncRNA
CACUUGGGCUGGUUUAGGGCCCUGGAUUUUCAUGCACCCUGAAAAAUUCUUGGUCGAAGCUUAUUUAACAUACCUCGUGUGACCUUAUAAUUGAAUGGCCACUUAAAGGAAAUCUUAAUAAGCAAUUGCAGCCUAAAUAGUUCCUUCAUGUGAUGUCUUGAAAAGUUGUUCUAGCCUCUUUAAGCAAAACUCCUGCCUGUACUUUAUUGUAAUGAUUUUCUCGAUACCUCAUCUCCCUGGAGCAUUCGUGCAUUGAGAGGCUGUGGAACUGAUAAUCUAAAUUGGGUGCCGUGACUAUUCACGAAAUAUUGGAGAGAAACCUUCACAAUCGGGAUGCAACAUCGUUGUGCUCGUCUUUCUAGAACUGUUUGGGUAGCUAGCUCUUCGCUCAGUGUGUCUGCCUCCACCGCCGACAGAGAAGUCCUCUGUAGGCUUCAUCACUUGGCGCACCGGGGACACACUGCCCUUGCAGGGUGCUGCAGAGAGAGCGUUGCAUGGGUGGAGAGGUGGAGAGGCCAGUUCGUCAAGUAGGUGACUCCCUGCGCUGUGUCAUGGGGUGGUCAUGACCUGGGAAGACUCCAGUGGUGAGGACACUGUACCCUGUGGCUUUGGAGCCUGCAUUUGUAUCAUUGGGCCGUCUUUGGGAAAGCAUGUUAGAAGUUAAAGAUGGUACUAUAUGAGAGGUAAGGAAGCCUUCCUCGUGUCUCACUUACAUUUCCAACUUCCUUCACACUCAGUUCAAGUUUGACUCCAGAAAACCCUCUCUGAACUGCAGGCCUGAGUUAGGGACUCUGUUUGAAGCCUUCAGCAUCACAUUCCUCCCAGCACCUGUGACACUGCCUAGAAAUGAUCUGCUCUGCUGAUCUCUGUGGUCUGCCUCUGUCUCAUUACCUGCUCGUCUGGCAUGUGGGACAGGGCCUGACGCUGGAGAUAUGUGUUAUGUGAUUGUGGGGUCUGACAUGGGCUCAGGGCUUGAUACGCAGGGGAGCCUCCCCUGCAGGAGCACCACGAGGCCAUCGGAGUUGUAGACUACAUGCAUCAGAGUGUGAGGACUUCUCUCUGGAUCUUUGGGACACAAGGCAAAAGGGAAGAGCAGGUGCUGGUUGGCGACAUGGCGCCACCCUGUUGCAAUAGGCUUGGUGUGCAGCAUAGCACCAGCGGGGAUGUUGGACAGUUGGCAGCAGAAAGGCUCCUGCAUGGGGCAAGGUGGAUGCAAACUGGUGAAAGGGGCCCAAGCAAAGCCCUGUUUUUCUGCAAUCUGAGAGCUGCUGCUCAAGGGCCUUCAACUCUGCCACCACCCGGGAAGGCAUUCUGCUUUAUUCAGUCCACGAAUCACAUGCUAACCUCAUCUAGAAGCAGCCUCAGACAAACCUCAGAAGGUCUGAUCACAUAUCUGCGAAUCUCACGGCCGGGCCAAAGUGACACAUGAAGUUGGUGCGGGUGCCAUAUUGGAGCGGUGGUCCGCGGCAUCAGAAGUACCCUAGGCAAGCUUUGGACCUGACUCCUCCCUCUCCAUCCUCCCCCCAGCAUCACUGAUGAUAACUGUUAAAACUACAUCGUAUAUAAAUGCAAAGCUGUGAAGAUUAUGGAACUUUUGAGAAAAACAGAAGACAAUGAAUUUAAUGAUUUUCUACUCAUUGACUGAGUCAUGGGACAACUGUGUAAAGGAUUUCCUGAACUAUAAAUUCUUAUUGUCAUAAACCAUAAACGUUUUGAAAGAAAAAAAGCUCCCCAAAUAUUCAAUAGUCAAAUGAGAAAACUGGCAAUAUGACUUACAUUUUCUCAGUGUUGCCACUGCAAAUAAACUAACUUUGAGGGUCUGUGGAAAGUAAAAGUUUGGGACCUACAUCCACCUGUAUGGAAAUUUAUAUUGAAAUUGAAGCUUUACAUGAUACAAUUUAAUAAUGAUUUUACAUGUUUUCUAAUAUGAAUCAGUAUGGGAAAUAUUUUAAAUGUGAUUAGUGGUGUCAUGUAUAUUGAUUACAAAAAGUAUGAGAAAAAAUUGAAGAAUGUUUUUCCAUACUGAUAAAUUUAGAGUUGUUUUAAAAUCUAUGCACUACUAAUUUGGAUUCAAUUUUAAUAAUACUGAGUUAAGAAAAAAUUAAUGAAUUUAUUUAAUUUUAACAGGCAUAACUUUGAAAUGGAUACACAAAGUCCAAUCGGUUCUUUGAAAAAGAUACUGUACACUUGUUUUGUUAAUGUAGUUAUUAAUAUUACUUAAUAUUAUUUUUAAUAAUGGGUUCAGUUAUCUGACAUCUUUUAAGUACGUGUGGAACAAUGUAGGCAUAUGAAUCUACUUUUUUAAUGGUAAAUUUUUAUCAAGUAUAUCCCAUGAAAAUUUAGCUUCUGAUUGGGAUACAUUCUAAAUGUAAAACACAGCAGAAGAAGUACAGUAUAAAGUAUGGUAAUACUGGUUAUAUUUUUUAAUUUGGCUUCAUGUUGAGAUGAUAAUAUUUUGGAAACACUAGGUUAAGUAAAAUACACUUAAAUAAAGUUUGUUUCCUUGUAGUGUUUAAUAUAACUACUAGAAAAUGUAAAUACUGUAUGUAAGCAUUACUGCUCAUUUUAUUUUUAGUGCACUGUGUUGGCCCACAGCUCCCCAGCCCACAUUCUGAGAGUGGUCAGGAGAGUUAGCACAGCCACGAAAUGAAAAUAGAAGUGCACGUGUUAUCCAUAUGGUGUUAUGCGCAUGUGGUCUGCUUUGAACCUUGUUGGUGAGAGCAAAGAGCCAGUCACCAAAUACCGUACCAUAUGCCAUGUACUCGAGGCUGUGUUGAUCUCUCUGAACAAGACAGCACAUCUGGCAAGGCAGCUGUGAGUGUAGCCACUGUUUUGUUGAGCUAGCAGUAAUCCGCCAUCAUCCCCCAGGUUCCAUCCAGAUUUUGUAAUUACCAGAGUCAUGAAUAAAAUGGAAGUAAGGUGGGAAGAGUGGCAUCUGAUCCUUUAGAAUCUUUAAGUAUGAGAGUAUCUCGGCAGGGGUAUGAAGAGUGGUGAUCUUUUCUAGAGUAUGGAACACAAAAAUUCCCAAUAUGUGUUAUAAUAGAACGAUUAGAGUAACAUGAUUACCUUUAAAAAAUUCCAGUAAAUCCAGCUUUGACUUAACAUAGAUGUAGUACUAUCUGUGGUAGUAGAAACUGAGUUUUCAAAUCAAGGUAGAAAUGUUCUUUAAGAGAUGUGAGACAUUUUUAAACAUCUACACAAUGAGUCUAAUUUUUUAGGUUUCAAAUUGAUAUUUUUUCAUAAUUUGGGAAGUCAAAGUGAUACAAAAUAUAUUAGAGUUUUUUUUUUUUUUUGGUACUGUGGGUCGAACUCGGGUCCUUGCGCUUGUGAGGCAGGUGACAGAACCACUGGGCUAAAUCCCCGGCCCAAUAUUAGAGGAUUAAUUGUGCUAUCUCAGUGUGUAUUGCAUGAUUCAUCUAAAGCUAAAGCAAAGUACUUGUAAUUUUCAAAUUUUGAAUCAAUUUUUUGAUACUCCUGGAAAGGUCUAGUAUUAUAAAGAUAAUUGGUUUGUUGCCUAGUUGAAGAUCUUUCACUGUUUGUAAAAUGUAUUUUCCAUAUUUUUCUCAUAAUUUUCUAAUAAACUAG